rfam:Sporosarcina psychrophila strain DSM 6497, complete genome.
AUCCACCGCUAGGGGUGCUCUAACAGAGCUGAGAGAGGCAUGUGCCUUGACCCUUAUAACUUGAACUGGUUAAUACCAGCGUAAGGAAGAGGUGCUGACACAAU